rnacentral:misc_RNA from 1 species
AAAAUGACUCAUGUGAUAUUAUUUACGUAUAUGAUAGUAUUAGUAACCUUACCAUGGUCAGGUAACUGAAUUCGAUUGAAAACAUCCAUGAGUAAAUCAACAGCCACAAAUGGUCCUCUGAAGCAUCCAGGUGGAGGAAGCAUGGUACAAAGUUGUGCUGCAGCUGGUGGCAAUGGAAAAGAUCCACCUAUAAAAAUUUUUUAUCAAGCAUUAUAAACAAAUAAAUAGCAUUAAAAACAAAUAAAUUUAGAUAUAGUACGUUUUAAUAAAGGAAUUUACCUGGUACUGGAUGCUCUCCAGGUUCUAAACUACCAGAUGAUAAAACUCUCUCGAAUAAAACUCUUGUAUUAUUGUCCUCUGAAAUAUUAAACGCAAUUAGAAUUGUGAUAUAUAUAACAUAUGUAAAUUUAUUUCUUAAAAAGUUAUCUCACCAUUCAAAUGUGACAGGUAGUCAAUAUAACAAAGUAUAUAGUCAGGAUUGUCCCCAAAUUUCUUUAAACCUAAUUCAAAUAUCCGAAAAGCAAUAUUUUUAUCCUUUGUGCAAUAAUAUUCCAUUAAUGCUGCAGCAACAUAUACAUGAUGUUUACAUCUUGGGUCUUCGCGCGCUCUUUUAAAAACCGUUCUAGCCGAUUUUAUACCUUCAGCGCGUCUUGCGAAUUUCAUGUAUU